rnacentral:piRNA from 1 species
UGUCCUUUCUGAGAGCCACGAAUACCUUC